rnacentral:rRNA from 1 species
AUUAGAGUUUGAUCAUGGCUCAGGACGAACGCUGGCGGCGUGCCUAAUACAUGCAGUCGAGCGAAUCAUUAGGAGCUUGCUCCUGAUGGUUAGCGGCGGACGGGUGAGUAACACGUGGGCAACCUGCCUGUAAGACUGGGAUAACUUCGGGAAACCGGAGCUAUACCGGAUAAUCCUUUUCCUCUCAUGAGGAAAAGCUGAAAGACGGUUUCGGCUGUCACUUACAGAUGGGCCCGCGGCGCAUUAGCCUAGUUGGGUUAGGUAACGGCUCACCAAGGCGACGAUGCGUAGCCGACCUGAGAGGGUGAUCGGCCACACUGGGACUGAGACACGGCCCAGACUCCUAUCGGGAGGCAGCAGUAGGGAAUCUUCCGCAAUGGACGAAAGUCUGACGGAGCAACGCCGCGUGACGAUGAAGGCCUUCGGGUCGUAAGAUUCUGUUGUUAGGGAAGAACAGGUCCCGGAGUAACUGCCG